GACGAACGCUGGCGGCGUGCUUAACACAUGCAAGUCGAACGGAAAGGCCCUGCUUUUGUGGGGUGCUCGAGUGGCGAACGGGUGAGUAACACGUGAGUAACCUGCCCUUGACUUUGGGAUAACUUCAGGAAACUGGGGCUAAUACCGGAUAGGAGCUCCUGCUGCAUGGUGGGGGUUGGAAAGUUUCGGCGGUUGGGGAUGGACUCGCGGCUUAUCAGCUUGUUGGUGGGGUAGUGGCUUACCAAGGCUUUGACGGGUAGCCGGCCUGAGAGGGUGACCGGCCACAUUGGGACUGAGAUACGGCCCAGACUCCUACGGGGGGCAGCAGUGGGGAAUAUUGCACAAUGGGCGGAAGCCUGAUGCAGCAACGCCGCGUGCGGGAUGACGGCCUUCGGGUUGUAAACCGCUUUCGCUCAUGACGAAGCUUUGUGUGACGGUAGUGGGUAAAGAAGCACCGGCUAACUACGUG
rnacentral:rRNA from 1 species